UGGGCCUUUUAUCACGACAUGGAUUCUGCCACAAAGAGACGUGAAACAUUUCUGUCAAUGUACAGACUUGUUGCUAUAGUAAUAUUACUCGCAUUGAAGUGGCAGUGGCACAAUUGACUAGCCAGCUUGUGGAACGUCUUGUUUUCUAGACUUUCUCCACCGUAAAGCUGGUUUUCUCUUUGUUUUACGACUUAAUUGGUUAAUCUGUCGCCUCUCUCUCCUGCCUGCUGUGCCUAAUUUUUCUUGCGCUUGACAUUCUGUAUCGAGACGGACAUGUUAGACGUUCCUGUUUUUGGAGACUACGGAAAGCGGACGUCACGUUUUCUGCCCUGACCUGCCUUCUAUCGUUUGGUGAAACAGUCUACAUUACGUGCGAAACUGCUCCACUAUUCAACGAGAUCUACUUUCUUGGCGGUUUCUAUUGCGCUUUAUCUGGAUUGUUGACUCUAGCGUGGGGCGUAAUUGUCUAUCUUUGUGUAAAGAUUCUUCGUUCAACUAGAAAUGAUUACGACCAAUUAGAAAUGGAUACGACAACUAGAAAUGGAUACGACCAACUAAAUUGACUUGCUUGUCUUAGUGCUAACUCGUUGAAAACUUCAUUGCUCAUUCUAGUAUCGCGAUCAGUCUUUGUCUCUACGUCUUCCUGUCUAGCUAUCUAUCUAGCUAUCAAGCUCUAGGUGAGCGUUUGUGUAGGCAGUUACAGUAGAGCUUGCCUAGACGUAUAGCAUCUGCCUAUACUACUACAAAUGAUUGCAUUUGUUCUUUAUUUCCACGACAUGUGUUACGUGUAUGUAUGUUUGAAAUAUCAGUGGUACACAUGGUUAACUUGAAUA